rnacentral:miRNA from 10 species
UUUGUUCGUUCGGCUCGAGUUA